CACCACUACCAGUUGAAGCUGCCAGCAUGAUCUAAACUUUCCUUAAAAAGGGAAGAUCAGAUCAUGCGGCAGUUUCACCUGUUGGUGGG
rnacentral:pre_miRNA from 1 species